UUCCAAUGUAUUCAUCAUCAUCAGGGUGGUUUUUUUUUUUUUUUUUUUUGUCCUAUCCUCUUCUUCAGACCACUUAUCUCUCCCCCCUCCUCUCUCCCAGCACCAUCACAGCCUUCCCCUGAUCUGCCCCUUUAAGAAAAAUCAGCCCUCUCCGCUCCUACCCCUCUGCACACUGACCUUACACACUGGACAAUAUUUAAGGAUCAAGGUGCCAUCCUAUAAAGAGGUGGAAAGCAGCGCGGCGGGGAAGCGCUCCCGAGGGCCGGGGGAAGCCGGGAGACGCGCGGACGCCCCAGAAAAAAAAAGAAAAAGGGGGGAGAGGAAGGAGAAAUAUCCCCCCCCUCCCUCCCGGAGCGAUGCCGGCCAGCCCGCAGGACCUGCCCGUCGCCCCCGGGAGCGAAGGUAGAGAGAGCCCGGGCAGAGGGGCUUUGAAGAAAGGAGCGAAGUGUAAAUAGCCCGAUGAUUGAUGUGCUGGCUUUGACCGCGGAGAAAGCACUAUUUUCAUUCAAGUGGCCAGGUCAGAUGGUCACGGAAGAAGGUUGAAAGGUAGGAUUUAAUGAGAUUAAUACGGAGAGAGAGAGAGAGAGAAAAAAAGAAAGCGCGGGCCUUCCUAAACAUUCAAUAAAAUACUCGGGUUAGGGAGAGCGCUCUGCUCUGCGCUUGCGGUGCUAACCCGUAGCGGGGCUCGGCGAGCAGGAAAAGCCGGAGCCCCCUCACUGAAGGGCAUUGCAAAAACACUCCAAAAACUUCGCUGGGUGCGUCAGGUCUCUGCUGGAAGCCCUGCUGCCAGCUGCACUUUUGCCCUGCAGGUGGAACUGGGGAGGAGGGGGGGGGAAUAGUCCUGCUAAUUACCGCUUUUCCCCUCCUCAAUAAACUCUUUAAUUGCAAAUG